GACGGGGACCCGCACAAGCAGUGGAGCAUGUGGUUUAAUUCGAAGCAACGCGAAGAACCUUACCAGGUCUUGACAUGGAGAUGACCGGCUGGUAACGCAGCCUUUCCUUCGGGACAUCUCACACAGGUGGUGCAUGGUUGUCGUCAGCUCGUGUCGUGAGAUGUUGGGUUAAGUCCCGCAACGAGCGCAACCCUUAUUGCCAGUAGCCAGCAGGUGAAGCUGGGCACUCUGGCGAGACUGCCCGGGAUAACCGGGAGGAAGGUGGGGAUGACGUCAAAUCAUCAUGCCCCUUAUGAUCUGGGCAACACACGUGCUACAAUGGCGUAAACAGAGAGAAGCGAACCUGCGAGGGGGAGCAAAUCUUCAAAUAACGUCUCAGUUCGGACUGUAGUCUGCAACCCGACUGUACGAAGCUGGAAUUGCUAGUAAUCGCGAAUCAGCAUGUCGCGGUGAAUACGUUCCCGGGUCUUGUACACACCGCCCGUCACACCAUGGGAGUCAGCAACGCCCGAAGUCAGUGACCCAACCUUUCAGGAGGGAGCUGCCGAAGGCGGGGCGGAUAACUGGGGUGAAGUCGUAACAAGGUAGCCGAUCGCAA
rnacentral:rRNA from 1 species